UACGUAGGGUCCGAGCGUUAAUCGGAAUUACUGGGCGUAAAGCGUGCGCAGGCGGUUUUGUAAGCCAGAUGUGAAAUCCCCGGGCUUAACCUGGGAACUGCAUUUGGGACUGCAAGGCUCGAGUACGGCAGAGGGAGGUGGAAUUCCACGUGUAGCAGUGAAAUGCGUAGAGAUGUGGAGGAACACCGAUGGCGAAGGCAGCCUCCUGGGCCAGUACUGACGCUCAUGCACGAAAG
rnacentral:rRNA from 1 species